rnacentral:rRNA from 1 species
UACGAAGGGGGGCUAGCGUUGUUCGGAAUCACUGGGCGUAAAGCGCACGUAGGCGGAUCUUUAAGUCAGGGGUGAAAUCCCAGAGCUCAACUCUGGAACUGCCUUUGAUACUGGGGAUCUCGAGUUCGGGAGAGGUGAGUGGAACUGCGAGUGUAGAGGUGAAAUUCGUAGAUAUUCGCAAGAACACCAGUGGCGAAGGCGGCUCACUGGCCCGAUACUGACGCUGAGGUACGAAAGCGUGGGGAGCAAACAGG